rfam:Fistulina hepatica ATCC 64428 unplaced genomic scaffold FISHEscaffold_484, whole genome shotgun sequence.
GGCGAGAUGGCCGAGCGGUCUAAGGCGCCAGACUAAGGAGACCAACCCAUGUGAUGGGUCUUGUAAUCUGGUCUUUCGGGGCGUGGGUUCGAAUCCCACUCUCGUCA